UGCCCGGCUCGCACGCAAUAGGGGGAAUGUUGGACUGAGGAUAAAAGCCCCCACCCUCCCACUAUAACACCUGAGUUUUAUGGUCGGGUUGGCUAGGUGGGGCGUUCUAACUGAUAUGUUGUGGCUUAUGUCAUGGUAUCAACUCAUUACUCUUUUUACUUAUUUCAGCUAUUUUGCUUGAGUUGCUAUAGUCCUUUAUGCUAAUAGCUGAAAAUAUUCUCUAACUUUCAAAUUAUUUCAGUCCCAGUUACCUAUGAUAUGAUAUAAUCAACUCGCACAUACCAGCUCAACAACUUUCACCUGCUUUGCACUGACUUAUGUGUGUCCUUACUGGAGUUUUCCAUCAUCAUAUUUCUUGCUGGUGUCUUUAUGAAUGAUGGAUUGCGUCUAUCUCCAUCUAUUUGUAUGUUUUCUUAAACAAUGGAAUCUGACCGUUGAGCUCUGUGAUGUCCAUUUCUUUGCAUAGGUCCACAUUAAAUGCAGACAUGUAAACCAACUCCACUAAUAUUGUCGGUGUCGUCAUCGUUUCAUAUCAGUGGGACUCUAUAAGCUACUACUGGAUCCUGAACCCUGCUUGUUUCCUAUAUAAGAGUUGGUUGCAGAUCCUUGAGAUGGAGAGACUUGACCUCUGGGACUGGGAAGUCAUGCAAGAGCCCAAAUAAUAAUACUAUAGUUUCAUACCUAUGUAAUUAUGGUUGUAUGGUUGAUUGCAUUUAGCUAUCCUGACUAUUUUUGUCCUGAAUAUCUUCAUUGGUGACUAGUGAGUUCAUUCUUUUGUUCAUCUCUUUAUCUAACAUCUCUCAUUAUAGGCUUUGCUUCCAGAAACAAGAUACAACAUUUGCAUAUGGCCGAUUUGGAGUUCAAUUUGCUGCAUUUUGUCAAAACCUAAACAUUAUUAUGUGAACAUUUGCAGGGCCUAAUUAUGGCUGCAAUGUAUAUAGCAAAUACGUCACAGUGCAAAGAUUUCACUACUCUUGGAACAGUGAAGAUCUGCAGAUCUCUGCACUAGUUUGUUUAUCCUUGCAUCUGAAUCAAUGGUAAUGUGGUCCUUGCUAGUUUAUCCAAAUCGAUCACCACAUGUUUAUAUAAUCUUGAAGUUACUGCCUAUAGUAUAGUUUUUGUUUAUCCUUGCAUUUGAAUCAAUGGCUACUUCUGUUCCUGACUUGUUUAUCCAAAUUGAUCAUAGAUGAUACCAAACCAUUGGCUUUUCUUCAAGAGACAAAUGCUUGAUCCCCUUUGUUGAGCAUACAGACAAUCUCACAUUGCUGUGUUUGGUUGUUGCAGGGGAUGACAUUGCCAUCGGUGGGUGGAAUCAGGUUUGCCAAUGAAAGGAGAAGGCAAGGCGGGCAGCAGACUGUAAGAGACCUUGCAGCAAAUGUUUGGAUCUUCCUCUAUGAUGCCAUCUCCAGUAGCCUCCCAAACAUAGGCAUUACUAGGACCCAUCCCUUUCCGGUAUUACUCCCCAACCCAUCCCCACUUUGACAACUCUGGGGUUGUAACCUGCACGUGCCCAUCGACUACUCCUGCAAAUUGUUCACCUGCUAAUUGCAGAUGGACUCAUCGGUUCCUCUUCUUGGAAGAGCACUGGUGAUACCUAGCUAAGUAGCUAUUCUGCCCCUCUUUUUGCUUGGUGUUUUCUCUUUUGUUAAUGGGAUGAUUGUGUAAUGGUCUGGUUGCAUGGUUGUGCUAUGGAAAAAGUGAACUGUACCCCAAUUGCCAA